AAUCAACGCUGGCGGCGUGCCUCAGACAUGCAAGUCGAACGCGAAAUUUCCCUUCGGGGAGAAAGUAGAGUGGCGCACGGGUGAGUAACACGUAGGUAAUUUGCCUUUGGGUGGGGAAUAACUCAGGGAAAUUUGAGCUAAUACCGCAUAAUGCAGCGGCUCGACAUCGAGACAGUUGUUAAAGCGGGGGAUUGGAGCAAUCCGACCUCGCGCCUAAAGAGAAGCCUGCGGCAGAUUAGCUAGUUGGUAAGGUAAUGGCUUACCAAGGCGACGAUCUGUAACCGGCCUGAGAGGGCGGUCGGUCACACUGACACUGACAUACGGGUCAGACUCCUACGGGAGGCAGCAGUCGGGAAUUUUGGGCAAUGGGCGCAAAGCC
rnacentral:rRNA from 1 species